GCCUUUGUGGUGUAGUGGUCAGCAGGCUCGAUCCGUAUUCGAGAGGUCCGUGGUUUGAGUCCCGGCGAGGGUA
rnacentral:tRNA from 1 species